CCUACGGGAGGCAGCAGUAAGGAAUAUUGGACAAUGGACGCAAGUCUGAUCCAGCCAUGCCGCGUGAAGGAUUAAGGCCCUCUGGGUUGUAAACUUCUUUUAUAGGGGACGAAAAAAGGGCUUUCUAGCUCGUCUGACGGUACCCUAUGAAUAAGCACCGGCUAACUCCGUGCCAGCAGCCGCGGUAAUACGGAGGGUGCAAGCGUUAUCCGGAUUCACUGGGUUUAAAGGGUGCGUAGGCGGGCAGUUAAGUCAGUGGUGAAAUCUUCGAGCUCAACUCGGAAACUGCCAUUGAUACUAUCUGUCUUGAAUACUGUGGAGGUGAGCGGAAUAUGUCAUGUAGCGGUGAAAUGCUUAGAUAUGACAUAGAACACCGAUUGCGAAGGCAGCUCGCUACACAAAUAUUGACGCUGAGGCACGAAAGCGUGGGGAUCAAACAGGAUUAGAUACCCUGGUAGUCCACGCCCUAAACUAUGGAUACUCGACAUUUGCGAUACACAGUAAGUGUCUGAGNGAAGANAUAAGUAUCCACCUGGAGUACGACCGCGAGUUAGAACGUACAAAGAAGUAGACGGCGUGAGACGUUAGCCGACGGACGACGACGAGGGGAGGUAGG
rnacentral:rRNA from 1 species